GGGCCUUUAGCUCAGUUGGUCAGAGCGACCGGCUCAUAACCGGUUGGUCCCGGGUUCGAAUCCCUGAAGGCCCACCA
rnacentral:tRNA from 1 species